rnacentral:tRNA from 1 species
GAGUUUGUCAGGUUACAACGAGAACUGCUAAUUACUCGUUUCCGCGGCUCAAUUCCGCGGCUAACUCA